UUCCUCUGGGCCGGAGCCCAUAUAUCUCUUCCCGUCGCUCGUCUUCCUCCUCGCGCACAGGACUCCAGUAGCGCAAGCGCCGCCACCGCCGGUUGAUCUCCCCUUCGAUUCUCUCUCGCUCCCGACCGUUUCUCCUCCCAUCACCCCACGAACGGAUUCCGCCCUUUAGCUCCCCGUUUCAUCUCCUUAAUCUCCCCCAAUUCGUAACCGAGGCAAAAAUACCUUGCCCUACUGGGUCCUCCGCCCGUGAGAACCCUAUCUAGCUAGCUAGCUAGCUUUGCUUCGAUCGACUGUGAGGCCACCGCGAAUGCCUUCCGUUGGCUCCUCGGAGCAUGCCACCCCGUUGGUCCUCGCUCGCCGGUGGCCGAUGAUCGCGUCGAUCGAAACCGCGUCCCUGUUUUAAAACGGCGGCGAUGAGGGAGGGACACGCGCUGGCUCCGGACCGGCGGCGGACGCACCGGAUCGUCGCUUCUCGGAGCCACUCCGCCCGCCCACACCGCCCGCGCAUCGGCUCGGCUUGGAGGCUCCUCGGGGUUGCCGCCGGUGUCGAUGGUGUGUGCGGCGGGUGCGGGCUGGGGACCGAGCUAGCGGCGGGGGUCCGUGGCGGGUUCCGGUCGAGGGUUUGGUCGGCCACCGCGGAAUCUGAGCCGCCGUUGAUGGAUUUCUCGCAGUUUCGUUGCAUUUGGCUUUGGAUUCGGUGCGUUUCCCAUCUCUCCCUCUCCCUCUCUCUCUCUCGCUCUCUCUCUCUCUCUCUCACAGUUCACACCCCAAAACCCAAACCCUAAACCAAAUCGGUCGAGCUCUCGUCGCCGACCAGCCGAACCAUCGUCCGAGUGGCCACUGCGUCAGCCCACUGCUACGGUGCCGCCAGCCACCGCCGUUCCAUUGCCUUGCAUUGGAUUCGGUUGUGGGCCUUGUGGCAAGGGCUGGGAACCGUACAGUGUUGUCUGAUGCGUGCUCCUAGUUGGGGUGUGGUAACUGGUCGGUCGAAGCGAGAUUUGAGCAGCUCCUGAUCAGUCCUGAUCGAUGGAUGGAUGUACGUAUGCAUGCACGGAUAUCAUGGCGAAGUUGCUCUGUGCGCAUGCCAUGAUGCAGAGGCCGGAAUUGGUUGGUUCGAUCCCUUACCAUCUCCUCUGCCGCCGCCGCAAUCUCCUCCUCAUGCUUGUCCCUUUGUGUUGCCGUGCCGUGCUCUGCUGUGCUAAGAAAUGGAAUCCUUACAAGGGGCGAUGAUGUUGAACUGUGGCUGAAAUAAGCAUGCCUUUUGAGCAAUUGAGACAGCUGUGGCCUUUGGGUACUAUCAAUUCGGAGCCUGCCCUCAUAUCUCUUGCAGCCUGUUCAAUCACUUGCUAAUGUUGGAUGUUCUGCCUCGGAUGGUCAUUCUGUGAGUGAUAACCAGCGCAGCUCCACUUACGAUACGUUGUGCAGACUAUGCAGCAAGAGAUGUGAGGGUCAGGCUUGAUGACGAAGCCAAAGCAAAACUGAGCCCACUCAAUGCAGUUUCACUAUUCUGUGGUUCGCUUGCUGUGAGGGUCGUACCUUGUUGAAGUGUAUAAGUGGAUCCUAGCCCUUUCCAUCAGCUCGGUCUUUUGGUUGCGUUGGCUAGCACAUGAAGUUUGACAGUACCUAGAUUGAUGUCUUCUCUUGGUGACAAACCCAAUCCUAGCUUGCUUGGAUUGUUUUUUUUUGCUGCGAGCAGUCUAGUCCAAAUAUUAUUUCUGAAAAGGAUGCUCUAUUCCAUCCAGAUUGCUGCCAACUUUGGUGCCGACUCAUCUUCUGAGUAGUUGCCGUGUCAGUUGCCCACCGAUAAGGUGCCGCCAGCUUCUGCCAUUUCAUUGCUUGGAUUUGGUUGUAGCAAGGCUGGGAACCUUACAGUUUUAUCUGAUGCGGCACAUAGAACUAUCUCGUUUAUAGGAGCCUAUUCUAUCAUUUCAAUGUUGGUAAUUCUGUGCCUAGGAUGGUCAUUCUAAUGAGCGACAACCUUCGUAGAUCUGCUUAGAUUGCGCAACAAGAACUGUGAUGGUUGGGUUUAUAUAAUGAACCAAAGGCGAGUGAGGCCUCUCAGGUUGAGUUUGCGGUUGAUGAAAUGUGCUGUGUUGAAAUUAUUUUACAGUAUGCUAUGGAAAAUAGCCACAGAAGCAGGUAAAAUGUUGGUUAGCCAAAUGGUAAAAUAGGCAAAAGUUGGUUAGAAAAACUGGCCACAUGCAGUGCCAAACGCAGUCUCAAUGCUAUUUCAUUAUUAUGAUACUUCUGUUUGGUAUAUUUUGAACCCCCGUUAUGAAUGAGAGCGUGUGGGAUCUGGUCAGAUGCUUUAUUUAAAGAGUGGAAUACUGAUGGUGAGCGAUGAUGAGCUUUUCUGAAAAACAUGAUAUUGAGCAAUCGUGACACCUGUGGGUGUGAAAUUAUACCUGACCUUCUUUUUUUCUUGGAGCAUAUUUCAAUUAUUUACUAAUAUUGGUGGUUCUGUGUCCAGGAUGUCCCCAGUGAUAACCAAUGCAGCUUCACUUCUAUUAGUAUGAGUAGAUUGUGAAGCAAGAAAGUAUGUUUGGCAUAAUUCUGCAUCAAGUAACAAUAACAUCGCAGUUGAUCUUUGAUGUGUUAUUUUAUUCGGAUAGACUGUCCACCCAGUGCCGCUGCCCACUUCUGCUAAGGCUUGGCAGAUGUUUUGACUAUUUUUAUGGAUGGCAAUGAUGAAUAUGGCCCAUUCAGAGAUAUGUGGAGAAACUAAGAUAACAUUCCGAAGUUUGAUUUAGGGUUUUGGGUUUAGGAUUGUUGGUGUGUGUAUCUCUAUUAUACUUGCAAAAUGGACGCAUUCAAAUAGGACGGUUUGCACAUUGUGAGCAACCAUUUGAAUGCAGUGUCACAUAGGGGUGUCAGCAGGUCGGAUAUGGAAUGGAUAUCAUGGGAAAACAACAUUUGUUCUCUUACAUUUUGUUUGGGUAACUUUUUUUCUCGUAAAUUUGAUGCUAUUGCCGGUUCUAUUUCUGGGUUAACAAGACAAUGUCUUGUUGGUAUGUUAACUUCGCCACAUGCUUCUCCAGAGGCGAAGUUAUGAUCUGCCAUAUCUGCGUAAAUUUCAACCGCUUCUUUGGUUGCCAGUAGUGCGGUCAUCAGUGCAGUGUUUUGAAUAACUUCAGAACACAUUAUAUCUGUUUCCUUUCCUUGAUGUGUUAUGUUCUGUUCUCGAAUGGCUAUGAUGAUUAUUUGCCCUUUGGUGUUGGAGAUCUUGUAACACAUGGGCCGGAGAGGCGGAGAUCUUUUCACAUCUCCUAAGUUGGUUCCUUCCAUGCAAAGUUGCCCAGUUAAACAGUUGGUCGUGAUACUAGGAGGCCUUGCCCUGCAGCAAGUUACCAGUUGCGGCUAUUUGUUGCUGGUGCUGUUUGUAUGGGGAGAGAGAUAGAGAUAUAUAUAUUUGUAUUGCACCUUGUUAUUACCUUUAGCAUUUUCCAACUUUUGUGAUUAAUAGUGGGGUCAAUCUGAGCUAUUCAAGUAGUAUUCCCAAAAGAGAUGGCCUGGCGCUAAAACUGUAAGUUGCAAUUGUUGUGUUAUUGUUAUUCCAUUGCUAUUUGACUUCUAAAAAUUUUAUACUUACAUUUUCCGACUCAAGGACUAUAGGGUGCAAGCUCAGAUAUUGUUUCCUUUCUGUCAUGUUCAUGAAUGGCUGUGAUGAUAAUAAGAUGAUAGCUGCCCCGUGAGAGCUUCUAACACCUGCAUUAGUUCUUUGUGUUUUACUAAGUUUGGUGCUAAACUAGGAGGGCUUGUGUCAACAGCAAGUAUAUAGCUUAGCUGCUCUGUUACUCUUAAAUGAUCCGUUUGACAGUGUACGCAGAGGGAGGGAGUACACGCCCCUAUUUUUGUGUACACCAGGAUUGUGAUAGUGAUUUUUUGUUCCUUUGUUUGUUCUCUUGUGAUUUGUCUAUUCCAUUUCAGGUUCCUAUGUUAUUCCUUUUAGUACUGGAUGGUUUGUGCAAGGUUUUGUUGACGGCGAUGAUGAGUUUGGCUCAUUAAGAGGUACAUACAGAACACUAAGAUGCCAUUGCUCAAUCUUAUGGGUAUGGUUUAGGGUUAGGGUUUUGGUGUGACUAGUUGGAAGCAUGCAAAUUGGGAUGGCUGCUUUCGGUGAGCAACCAUUUGAAUGCAGAAACUGUCACUGGGUGUAAACAGACUGGAUACUCAUUUGCUUUCACAUGUGUAGAGGGCACGUGUCAUAUGAUUGAUGAGCCAACGCUGAGCUUUCUAUUCUCUUGAUAAAACCUUUAUUUUGAAAAUUUUUGCUUGCCCUAAUACUAACUUGCACGAAUGUGCUUCUGUGUAUUUUUGGUCAUUAUCGUUUUGAUUCUUGCUAAAUUUAAUUUAUUAAUGAUGUGCCUGUAUGGAUCUCACUGUCUGAUACUCUGAUGUACUCCCUCCGAUCCAUAAUAAGUGCCGGGAUACUCGUAUGAAGUGUCGGCGAUUUAGUACAAAGUUGAGUAUGAUAUUGUUUAUGACACUUUUGAGAUAUGUUCAGAACUGGUUGGUGAACAAUUUUUUGCGUUCCCUUAUGCUUGUUUUCAAUACUUCAAUGACAGGUUUUGUGAUUGGUCACAAUGGGAUCCUUUGCACUUGCUUGUGUACAUCCUUUGCACUUGCUUGUUCUAUUCCUUGUCCCAGGCUCCCAGCAUGCACCUUUUCAGUUUGUUUCUGCAUUCCUAUGUACCUUCACUGCUAGUGUUCCUUGGUGUGUUCAUGAACAGUAUAGUACUGUAUUAUCUAGUCUGCCAUGCACAAGAUUGCUCCAAGAAAACAAUUGAUUUCUGUCGCUUUAUAACCUGUAGAAAUUUCCAUUUCUUUUCUGUACAUCUCUGUGGAAGCUGACUCUGGUGGGAAUAUUUUUGUAGAAACAGGUACUUUGUUUUUUACUGCAUAAUCUGGUAAUUGUUUUUUUAGAACUACUCCCUCCGUCUCAUAUUAAGUGACUCAAAUUUGUCCAAAUAUGGAUGUAUCUAUGCCUAAAAAGUGUCUACAUUCAUGUAAUAGGAAAUCACUUAAUAUGGGACGGAGAGAGUACUUUUUUUAUGUCUUUGAUUGAAGGCAAUAGGAUCUGAAUUGAUUAUUUGACAGAAGCCGCAUGGCUUUUUGUCUUGUUACUUGUGGGCUGACCUAUAAAAUGGCCCACUCCAAUGCAAUUAUACAGGUACCCAAGCAAAUUGUGCAAUGUUUACUAUCUGUAUUUUAGGACCUCUUUGGUUCACAGGAUUUUCAAAUUCUGGAGUGGGGACGGACCAGCGAUGCGAGGAAUCGAGUGGUACCAUUACCACCACCUUUGCAUUCGCUGUGUGCAGAGGUCGGCUCUUCCAUCGUCUAAAUUUUCCAAAAAAAAAAUCUUGGUCCUAUCCCUAAAACUGGUUUUCGGGGACCUGCUAGAGAUGAUCUAAGUAAACCCCACCUCCGUUGCAAAUGCUGGAGACUUGGGAGUGAUGGAUGGCUAUUUUGGCUGUUCAUAUUUUCUUUCAUGCGAAUCACUGCUGUCACUAUCUGUGGCGGAGCUUAAAAGAAUAAAAUGACCCAUCGCCCCCUUCAUGGUCAAGUUGUUGUUGUUUCUGCUGCAGUUACUGCUGCUCUAUCUCUUUGAUUGCGAAAUGGAAUCCUAUGAGGGGCAAUGAUGAUCAACCAUGGCUGAUGUAGGCACGUCCUCGAGCAAUCGAGGCACCUGUGGGUAUCAAGUUGGUUUCUCCCUUCUCUCUUUGAACCUUUUCGGCCAUGUGCUACUUUUGGUGUCUCUGUCCUUGGACGGUCAUUCCUGAUGAGUGAUAACCAGGGCAGAUUCACUAAAGUAAGAACUGGUUGAUCUGGUGACAAGAUGAUGGGGAUACUGUUAUAUGAAUGAGCAAAGGCGAAUCUGAGCCCACUACAAUGUGCAGAUAGAUGGCUAUUUUGGCUGCGAAAUUUUUAUUUGUAUACCGGAAAUCAUUGCUGUCAACAUCAGUGGCGGAGCUUGAACUGACAAAUUGAUCCACCGUUGCUGCUGCUGCUGCUGAUCUAUCUCUUUGAUUAAGGAACAGAGAUGUUGAUUUUUAAAGACUAUGAUGGAGCUUUUAGUUCUAUAGCGGAUUUUUGUUGCCUAUGUUCGUUUCGAUUGUAUCGAUCUAUUGUACUCCCUCCUAUCCAUAUUAAGUGUCGGGGAUUUGGUACAAAGUUAGUACUCUCUCCACUACUGACUCUCUCUCUGCCGUUGCUGUUGCUUCUGCUGCUGCUGCUGCUUUAUCUCUUUGAUUAAGGAACCAAAACCUACGAGGGGCAAUGAUGAUCGACCCUGGCUGAUAUAGGCACGCCCUUGAGCAAUCGAGGCACCUUUGGGCUUUGGGUAUCAAGUUGGAUCAUCCCUCCUCUCUUGAGCCUUUUCGAUCUAUGUGCUAAUUUUGGUGUUUCUGUCCUUGGAUGGUCAUUCCUGAUGGGUGAUAAUCAGGGCAGAUUCACUAAAGUAAGCACAGGUUGAUCUGGUGACAAGAUGUUGGGGGUAGGGUCGUAUGAUCGAACAAAGGCGAAUCUGAGCCCUCUCCAAUGCGAAUCAGUGGCGGAGCUUGUACUAACUUUGUACUAAAUCCCCGACACUUAUUGUGGAUCGGAGGGAGUACUUUCUUUUAUGAAUCAAUAAAGGCAGAUCCUUGUUCUAAAAAAAAGGAACAGAAUGCUACGAGGGGCAAUGAUGUUCGAUCCUGGCUGAUAUAGGCGCGCCCUUGAGCAAUCAAGGCACCUUCGGGGCAGAUUCACUAAAGAACAGGUUGAUCUGGUGGCAAGAUGUUGGGGGUAGGGUUAUAUGAUCAAACAAAGGUGAAUCUGAGCCCACUCCAAUGCAAUUAUACGGGUCCCCAAGCAAAUUGUGUAAUGUUUUCCUAAAAUAUUUGUUUAUUUUAGGGCCUCUUUGAUUCACUGGAUUUUAAAAACACAUUGAAGGAAUUAUGCAGGAUUAUAAUGUCAUGCAUUCUUGAUAAGGGCGAUGAUGUUUGACCAUGACUGAAAUAAGCAUGCCUUUGAGCAAUCAAGGCACUGGUGGUUAUCAAGUGAUCUUCCCUUCUCUCUCUAGAGCCUUCUUGAUUCUGUGAUACUGGUGGAUCUGUCCUUGGACGGUUAUUCUGUUUGAAUGAUAACCAGGACAGCUCCACUAAUGUAAGAACGUGUUUAUCUGGUGAUAAGACAUGAUAGCGCUGGACUUAUAUGAUGCAGCAAAGGCGAUCCUGAGUCCAUUCCAAUGCAAUUUACAGUUUGUAUUUUGUCUGUGUUCACAAUGUUCUCAUCCCUUUGUUUCAUACAUUGUGCCUUGUUCUUUUUCAUAUCCUGUUGCAUCUUGUGCAGUACAUCAAAUGUUCGCAUUUUUUCUAAGUGAUUUUUGCUGAAUUGCUCUUAGUUAUGUAUGUAGUCAAUUUGUUAUCACCUUUCAUAUGUGGUGUAAAUCGUGUGCAUGCAGCAUUUCCCCUAUUUUUCAUUGCAGUUAAUUCGUGUAUGUUGAUAUGGUCCACUUUCCUCUAGUGCAAGAUGUUGCCUUUCUACUUAUUAUCUGUCCUGUUUGUCUUACCAGUAAUAUGUUAUUUCAACACCACUAGUUUUCUUUGUUCUUUCUGCUGGUUACUGUGAGCCAGGACCGACUAUUGAAUAUUCUUUUGAUGACUUGCAUAUCUCAUGAAUCCUAAGGGAAUCAAACUACUUCAUCAAAGUUUCCUAUUGGCACAGAUGCACGACGUGCAAAAACCAAAAAGAAUGUAUAGCCCUGAUGAGUUCUGAUGUUCUAUUAUGUACUCCCUCCAUCCCAAAUUAACUGACAUGGAUUUGUAUAGAUUCUUAUAUAAAUUCACGUCAGUUAAUUCGGGACGGAGGGAGUAGUAAGCAUGCCUGUGAACAAGGUAUGGAGCUUGUAAUAUGAACUCAUUCUCUCUGGAGGCCUGUUUAGGGCAUAUGUUUGUGCUGGUUUCGCUGUAGUCUGGUCAAUCCUAUAAUGAUUGCAGCAUGCUUCUAAUACACCUGUUUGGUUGCUUCCAAGAGGAUAUGAGCAUUAGAGGCAGACCGUGAGAACAUUAAAUGACAUAGCCUGGAAUGUCAUUUUGUUAAACUAGCACAGUUCCAUUUUUUAUGAAUGUUUGACCAUGUAGAAUCAAUUUGAUGCACAGAUUGGGCUUAUGUAUCUAACCAUCAAUUGUAAAGCUGAACCCAAUGCAACUGACACAGUACUACCAUACAAGCUAUGAAUAAUAUUGUCCCUCGUUCUUUGUUUCA